UACAGAGGUCCCAAGCGUUUGUUCGGAUUCACUGGGCGUAAAGGGUGCGUAGGUGGCGAGGUAAGUCGGAUGUGAAAGCUCGGAGCUCAACUCCGAAAUGGCAUUGGAAACUACCUUGCUCGAGGGAUGGAGGGGGGACUGGAAUUCUCGGUGUAGCAGUGGAAAUGCGUAGAUAUCGAGAGGAACACCAGUGGCGAAGGCGAGUCCCUGGACAGUCUCCUGACACUGAGGCACGAAAGCUAGGGGAGCAAACAGG
rnacentral:rRNA from 1 species